rnacentral:misc_RNA from 1 species
GAGGCGUGCCUUUAAUAACUAUGAUUACACAAGAAGUUUUAAGCUACUAUAGUCCGGCUACGAAGCACGGAAACUCUAAUCAAUGGCGUUUCAAUGUUUUGGAAACGUUUCAGAGAUGAAAACAGCAAGACACAACCAUGAAAUGUUUCACGGCGUGUCCAGAAAAAUCAAAAAAUGGAAACGAAUCGUAAACGCGCUCCUAACUUAAAUUGGCGUUUGUUUAUCCUCCCUACAAAAACCAUCAUGAAGGUGCCUAAAGCCAUCGUUAAUCUCAUCUUCUCUCGUGCCUAAGCUUGCUAGAUCGAUCAGUAGUUUCGCCAACGUCGAAGAGUGGUCUGAGUCUCAUUGGUGAUGUUCAUAGCGGGUAGGGGAGUUGAAAGGAGAGGAAGACGUGUGAGAGGGAGAAGGAUUGUGCUAUGUACUUUCUUAGUUUUUUUAUUGGUUUUUAGUUUGUUUCCUUCUUAAUUUCUUUUCUUUUCUUUUCUUAU